AUUCGAACGAAUGAUAAAGGGGGCUAAGUUUCAUUAAGUUGGUGCAUAUAGUCGCGAUUUGUGGCGCUUGAAAACUAGUCGGUUACUUUUGCUGAAAUUUGACAUGUAUAUGGACAAGAAUGCGAUCUACCUGUUGGCGUAGGCGUUAUACCUAGGAAAAAACUAGUUUUCGAGUAUUUUGCGUUUAAAUAUUUUUAUGGGAAAGGGCACGCGCGCGUGACGUCAUGAAAAGCGCUUAGGCUAGCUUCCAUCUUGCUACGAAACAAAGAAACUGACGUUACGCGUUAUUAAUUUAAUAUAAAGUUAGGCGUUUAAUCGAUAAACAAAGACGUAAUAAUUGUGUUUGAAUAUCAAUCGGAAGUACACAUGCAUGUCUUUUGUGCACAGUGUGGUUUUUUAAUAAACAUGACAUAAAUCUAUGUGUUAUUCAACGUAUUGUGUGCGACGAGUUGAAGAGAGGUUUACACGGCUAGGCUUUCCGAGAUAAAUCGUAACGAAAUAGCAGACACCACACAGCGUCUCAUCUGAUUCUACGCUGUUUGCCAAGGCCGAUACUAUAAUGAAUGGAAAUGCACAAACUCAGUAACUGGCAAGCAUA